UGCGAUCGUGAGAAGACCAGGAGGGACUCCUUCCCUCUCAAAACCCUAAAUCUUUAAAACUCCAUCAAUUGAAAGCCAAAUUAGUGAAGAAUCGAAUGCAUGAUCUAAGAAUUCUGAUUAUCUAAGUAUUCUUGAUCUCAAGAAUCAUGUCAAAAUGGUUGAGAGCAUGGAAGGCUAACGGGCUAAGAAGACUCAAGUAAAACAAACGCAAAUACGGACGCACAAGGUAAGUGAAUCCCGGACUUACACUUUAGAUGUAAAAUGUAUUGUAGUAUGAUGAUUAUUGUGAAACUUGUGAGAAAGUAUGAGACAAUGGAAGUAAUAAGGUAAGUUUACGGUAAAUGAGUCGAAAGUAGUUAAGAAAUAGUUUCUAUUAAGUAUAGGUAAGAAGGAAUCUUACGUGAUGAUAUUAUGCAUAAAGGUGAAAUAAGUAGUUAUACGCGUAGGUAUGGGUCUAAUUGUAAGUAAACAAUUGGGAUUCAUAGGAGAGAAUGACUAUGAACACAUAUGUAUGGAUAAUUAUGUGUAUACAAUUUACAUGUAUAGAUGGGUGUGUUUAGGAUUACAAGUAAUAUGUGUAGAAUGUAAAUUGUAAGUACAUGUACAAAUAGAAAAGGGUAUGUAUGCAUGUAUCGGAAGAUAGUUAAAUGUAUAAAUGAAUGAGACUUGUUAUGCGUAUACAUUGCUAUGUUCGUAUGAAUGAAAUCUAAAGAUGCUAACCGUUUUCCUAUUUAGAAUGAAAUAGGGAAUGCAGGUAUACUCGUGAUGGAAGUUGAAGGUAGGCGCCAAAAUCCAAUGCGGGUGGUUUGAAUGGAUGGAUGAAUGGACUAACAUAAGCGAGAGCAUGAUAUGUUAACGCCUAAUUAUGCAUGUUUAAAUUUUAUAUAUGAUGACACUGGUUGCUAAUGAUGUGAUUGUACGUGGUGUCUGCAGGUUGUACAGAACUGUGGAUUCUCACCCUGGAGUGUAAAAGGUUGAAGAUCGAGUCAAGAGAUGGAUUGUACAUGUGGGCGCAUGGUCACGUAAUUUAAUAGUAGUAUGUCCGAUUUUUAUAAAUUUAUAGAAAGCAUUAAUGUAUUUAAGGUAAAAGAGUGAAUUAAUGUAUUUCUAAGUAUGUUAGAACGAAUAUGAUGAAAGAGAAUUUUUAAGUUCGUAUUUCCGCUGCGACUUUUGGUUAAAACGUGUUAGGGCGUUACAGCGAGAGAGAGAGAGAGAGCGACCGGUACAGGAGUAGAGGGCGACGGGGGAUGUUAGCUCGAAGGCUUCCAUGGCUCUGACAGUGACGAGGUUAAACGACUAGGGUUCCGAUCAAGUUCCGGCAUCUUUCCGGUAACCUCCGGUGAGAUUCCAGCAAAAAUUCCAGGGAACGAACUUGAAGAUGCAUGUUUCUUUUUCGAGUAGACCAACAAACCCCGAGAGAGCACGCACACGAAGGUACAAGCCAGAUGCUUCUGAUGACGACGAUAGUGGAUCCAAGGUAACGGUGGAAGUAUACAACUAAGACAAACCCACGAGAGGUAUAAACACCUGGGAAGCCGGAAACGAGGGACAUCACCAGCGGUCUAGAGUUUUGCUGUCGGUCGCCACAUGUGAGAUAGCCAUGCAAUUUCUGGUUACCACAACCCAACAUUUGCUACUUCAAUCGCAGGCCUGAUUAGGGCUCCAAUCGAAGGUAGGCGUCUGAUUAGGGCUCCAAUUUCAGUUCAGAACGACCAGGUUUGUGGAUCAAUGAUGACAAAAGAGCAGCCACAUGCAAUGCUGAUACCCAUUGGAUAUUUUCUAAUAAGGUAUUGACUUCAUAAGCCGAGCCUGUUCACUGGCCAGCCCUAGAAGCCCAACCCAUCAACGAUUUCCCCAGAAUAAAUAACGAUUCUGAAACCCGAAAAGAAACAAGAACAACCCAUGAAGCCCAAAAAAGGUCCCCAAAUGGAACGGGUAUCAAGUGCUAGGCUUAGAAAUGAUUCAAUCUUACAUAUAAAAACUGGGUCACUGAAGGAAUUUCUCACUUUAGGGAAGAAAUUAGGCCAAGUGCAAUUUGGUACAACUUUUCUUUGUAUAGAAAAGUCAACCGGUCAACUAUAUGCUUGCAAAUCGAUUACAAAAAAAGGUUGACCGAAGAUCAAAUAAUGCAUCAUUUGGCGGAUCACCCGAAUGUUAGAGCAAUGAAAGGGGCUUAUGAGGAUGCACUCGCGGUUCAUGUUAGGAAUUAUGUGUGGGUGGCGAGCUUUUUGAUAGGAUUAUUCAAAUUGGUCAUUAUACUGAAAAAAAAGGCGUCCGAGCUUACAAGAACGAUUGUUGGUGUUGUGGAAGAUUUCAUUCUUUAGGUGUUAUGCUUACGGAUUUAAAGCCUGAAAAAUUCUUGCUUGUGGAUAAGAAAGAAUAGAUUACUGAUGCAAGAAAAAAUGUUUGUUCUUUUUGUUUUUAAGAUUGAAGACCAGCGACAACCACCCUUAAAAUAGCAACACUCCAACGGCUAGAUACGGGAAAUAAGAAGUUAGAAAGAGGUUAGAAAAAGAAAAAAAAGCGGCUAGAAUAAGGAAGCUAGAGAUGAAGAGGAACAUGUUUGUAUUAAUUCACAAGUGAUCAAAGCACAAACGAACGUGUUAUCAAACCGUGAACGAUCCAGUUUUGUGCACGGGCAUUGUGUUACCAAACCGUUCAAAUUCGGCUUUGCGCGUCGCAACGCGUGCAGAGAAAAAAACUAGUUGAAGAUAAAAUCAACAUAUUUAGCUAUUUUAGU